rnacentral:lncRNA from 1 species
UUUUAAAUAUAAGUUGUCACUAUCCAUCUCCAAUGUGCCUACUGUAGACCAAGUUACUAUGAAAUCUUGCUAGGAUACAGGGCUUCUGGUAGACUUCUACAUCCUGUUGACUGUACCAUACCUCACAUUGUAGACUAUUUGAUUGUCUUAGAAUAUAAGCAAGUAAAUAUGGUUUUUCUUAUUAUUUUUAAUGUAUUCUCAUCGCUCACCAAGUAAAGGCAGAAUUAUUAAAGUAAUAAAAUGUUCAUAUGGUCUACCUUACACCGUUCUCACUCCUGCCAGCAGUUCUUUAUUUUGUUUUCCAAAAAUCUGAGCUUGCCCAAGUGUUUCCAAUAUGGCUCUAUAACCUUAAGGCUCUUGUGUCUAACCCUAAACAUAACGUCCUUUUUUGUUCUUAUUGAAUACAUGUGUUUCUCUCGAAAUCCUUUUUCAGCAUUUAUAUCAAAUCAGUUUAUAAAGUAUGUUUACCCACAGUUUUCCCUUAUAACAUUUCUCAGAAGUUUAAUUGAAUGCUGGUGUGUUUUAUUAUGAGUGCCAACUUAAUACUGUGUGAGCUCCAGAAAGCCAGGUGGAGUCCACUUUUGGUUUUUUUUUUUGUUUUUUGUUUUUUUUCUUGCUUAUCAUUUAUUCAAAUAUUUUUGAACAAAAUAGUGUCAAUGACUGCUUUUGCCACUUAAGGAUCUCUCAGAAACCAAUUCCAAGGAUUUUUUUUCUGAAAUCUGUUACCUUCAGUCAUGUUGUUUCUUGUAAUUAAAUUUGUCAUACGUUCAACUAUAAGAUUUAAAACAUCAGUAUAUGUCAAUAGUGUUUUACAAGCCUUCCUGGUGAUAUGGGAUAUUAUCUGUUUCCUCUCGUGCUGCAUGUUAUUCUAACUCAACUAUGAACAUUCCAGAAGGUCUAUGCUAACUUUGUCAUGUUCCUGUCCACCUACUACCUGAACUUUACCUCAGUAGAUGAGUUACAAAUGAACCUUUUCUCCCGGUCUCCACAUCUUAAAACACAGGCAUGAGGUUAAUGUGGAACUCCCAAAUUGAGAAUUUUAAUAAAUAAUUAGCUUCCUCUUCAUAUUUAAGAAAUAAAUUUUUACAAUUAAUGUUGUCUCUUCAAUAGACUCCUUAAAUAGUGUUAGAGCUCUUUUGGCUUCCAUCACUAGAAGUGAAUUGAAAUCCAGAAAUACAAGUUUUUAUCCAACAGCUUGAUGUGUUUGUAACCUGUGUGUGAAUACUCACAAACAAUAAGCACAUGUACAAACAUAUUUUCCAGGUUCAUAAGAGUAUCUUCAUCUGAAUCAUUAGAAAAUAUAUUACAAGUAUGUCUAUCUUAAUAGAACACAAGAUAAAAUCUUCACAUAAUUUUAAAAAAUAGGAAAACAUUCCUCUUAAAUUCUGAAAGUCUCCUGAGCACUGUCUUGUUAACAUGGCCACCAUUGCCCCAGCUCCCACUUUCCAGUGAACGAAGUUCAACUGUGAGUAAACACAUGGAUUCAUCGUGGCCUCCAUUUCCUUCAUGUCUUCAGUCGGAUCACCACUGUCUUCCAUUUCAGAUAUCUUUAACUUUCUUAACCCAUUCUGCCUACACAGAAAUCCAGACUUUGUAGCAACAUGUUAAGUUGUGUCUCUGACUUUAUGCCCCAUUCAUAAAUGUACCAUCAUAACCCCUGAUUUUCCUGAAUAGAGCCCCACUCUCUUAUCAAAACAAGAGUAUGGCACCUCAAGGCUACUGGUUCCCUCUCAGGGAUCCUCACUGUCUACCUAUUGCAUAUUGGCUAUAGUACAAAUGCCUACAUGUAUAGCCACACUUUAAAAAAUAUUUAUAACUUGGUAUACUGCAAUAUAGUGCACUUUUACAGAAAAGAAUACUAUCUCUAGAAUGGAUUCAUUUUUUUUCUAAACUCUUUGAACUGGAGUUACAUGAUGUCUUUGAGCUUAGGAUAUCUUCUAGCUUAUGUUCCUGGGGCAGAUGGAGAUCUAUUUAAUCUAAAACACUUAUGUCGAAUGCUGGAUUUUUACCUGAUAAUUUUGUUAAAAUCCAUAUCACCUUUUAGUAUCUCUUUUACAAGAUAAGUAUUUUGAUUUAUAGUAUGACUACUUGGUACUUUCUUAAUUCCUUAAUAAAGACUGUAAGCUCCGUAUGAGCAGGCAUUAUCUUCUAUUUCAUGUUCCCUGCAGUGACAGCAUCAGGGAUUAGUAUAUACUAGGUGCUCAACUAAUAUUUGUUAAAUUAAUCUAAAUAUGUAGGAAACCAAACUAAUAAAAAUGUGUAUAUAUAUUUAAAAAUUCAAGAAAUAAGAAAAAUUUGUAUAUCAGAAUGUACAGAAUAAAGAAUUUAUUGCUCCUGCUG